AUGGGCUGGGUUUCCUGGAAGGUCAGGAAACAACCACUGUAGCUUCUCUCUGCCUCUCUCUCUGCCUCUCUCUCUGUCUGUCUCUCUGCCUCUCUCUCUGCCUCUCUCUCUGCCUCUCUCUCUGUCUGUCUCUCUGUCUAUCUCUCUGUCUGUCUCUCUCUCCCCACUCUUCCUCUCUCUGUCUCUCUGUCUCUGUCUCUCUGUCUCUGCCUCUCUUUCUCUCUGUGUCUGUGUCUGUCUCUGUCUGUCUCUCUCCCUCCUUCCCAGCCUCCACAUCAGUCACUCCACUCACCAAGGCCAGACCCUGCCACAGAGAGGGAGGUCCUGACAGCUGUAACGUGCUUUCUUAUACUGGCCCUGGGACCUCCCUCUCUCUGUGGCAGGGCAGACCAAUGUAUGGAACCCUGAAGCCCGUUGCCCAGGUUUCUGAAAAAGGUCCAGUCUUGGUCAGAACCAGCAGGCACAAAGUCACAGGUCUCAUCCAGUCUGCCUUUCCAACCAGCACUGUAUAG
rnacentral:lncRNA from 1 species